rnacentral:rRNA from 1 species
UGGCUCAGAACGAACGGUGGCGGUGUGCUUAUUACAUGCAAGUCGAGCGGUAUCCGGCUUCGGCCGGAGAGAGCGGCGAAAGGGUGCGUAAUGUAUAGAUAACCUGCCCUGAAGCGGGGGAUAACAAUUCGAAAGGAUUGCUAAUACCGCAUGUGAUUAUGCUUUCGCAUGGAAGUAUAAUGAAAGUGGGGGACCUUCGGGCCUCACACUUCAGGAGGGGUCUAUAUCCUAUUAGCUAGUUGGCGGGAUAAAAGCCCACCAAGGCGACGAUGGGUAGCCGGCCUGAGAGGGUGACCGGCCACACGGGCACUGAGACACGGGCCCGACUCCUACGGGAGGCAGCAGUAAGGAAUAUUGGGCAAUGGGCGAAAGCCUGACCCAGCGACACCGCGUGAGCGAUGAAGGCCUUCGGGUUGUAAAGCUCUAACACGUAUUAAGAAGGCGGCGUGUGCCAAUACCACACGUUGUCGGACGAAGGUACGAGAUGAAGUCAUGGCUAACUCAGUGCCAGCAGCCGCGGUAAUACAGAGAUGGCGACCGUUGUUCGGAAUCACUGGGCUUAAAGGGCACGUAGGCGGGUUGUUAAGUCGGUUGUGAAAUCUCAUGGCUUACCCAUGGAACUGCAGCCGAAACUGGCAGUCUUGAGUGCGGUAGGGGGGAGUGGAACUCCUGGUGGAGCGGUGAAAUGUGUUGAUAUCAGGAGGAACGCCGGAGGCGAAAGCGACUCUCUAGACCGUAACUGACGCUGAGGUGCGAAAGCCAGGGGAGCAAACGGGAUUAGAUACCCCGGUAGUCCUGGCUGUAAACGAUGAGCACUAGGUAGGGGGGGGAAUCCCUCUCUGCUGGAGCAAAAGUAUUAAGUGCUCCGCCUGGGGAGUAUGGUCGCAAGGCUGAAACUCAAAGGAAUUGACGGGGGCUCGCACAAGCGGUGGAGCAUGUGGUUUAAUUCGAAACAACGCGAAGAACCUUACCUGGGCUUGACAUUCUUGGAUUAUCCGGCUGAAAGGUCGGAGACGCUCCUCGGAGUGGAACUUGAACAGGUGUUGCAUGGCUGUCGUCAGCUCGUGCCGUGAGGUGUUGGGUUAAGUCCCAUAACGAGCGAAACCUUUAUCCUUAGUUGCCAGCGGGUAAAGCCGGGGACUCUAAGGAGACUGCAUACGUCAAGUGUGAGGAAGGUGGAGAUGACGUCAAGUCAUCAUGGCCCUUAUGCCCAGGGCUACACACGUGCUACAAUGGCCGGUACAAAGGGAAGCAAGAUCCGUAAGGACGAGCAAAUCCCAAAAAAGCCGGUCCCAGUUCGGAUUGAGGGCUGCAAUUCGCCCUCAUGAAGUUGGAAUCGCUAGUAAUCGUGGGUCAGCUAUACCACGGUGAUUGUGUUCCCGAGCCUUGUACAUACCGCCCGUCAAGCCACCGAAGCAGGGGCAGCCCGAAGUCACUGACCUAACCCGCAAGGGGGGGAGGUGCCCAAGGAGGCCCUUGUGACGGGGACUAAGUCGUAACAAGGUA